rnacentral:rRNA from 1 species
CCUACGGGUGGCUGCAGUGAGGAAUAUUGGUCAAUGGGCGUAAGCCUGAACCAGCCAAGCCGCGUGAGGGAUGAAGGUUCUAUGGAUCGUAAACCUCUUUUAUAAGGGAAUAAAGUCUGGGACGUGUCCUGUAUUGUAUGUACCUUAUGAAUAAGCAUCGGCUAACUCCGUGCCAGCAGCCGCGGUAAUACGGAGGAUCCGAGCGUUAUCCGGAUUUAUUGGGUUUAAAGGGUGCGUAGGCGGCCUUUUAAGUCAGCGGUGAAAGUCUGUGGCUCAACCAUCGAAUUGCCGUUGAAACUGGGUGGCUUGAGUAUGUUAGAGGCAGGCGGAAUGCGUGGUGUAGCGGUGAAAUGCUUAGAUAUUGCGCAGAACCCCGAUGGCGAAGGCAGCAUGCCAGGCGAUGACUGACGCUGAGGCACGAAAGCGUGGGGAGCAAAUAGGAUUAGAUACCCGAGUAGUC